AGCGUACACGGUGGAUGCCUAGGCAGUCAGAGGCGAUGAAGGGCGUGCUAAUCUGCGAAAAGCGUCGGUAAGCUGAUAUGAAGCGUUAUAACCGACGAUACCCGAAUGGGGAAACCCAGUGCAAUACGUUGCACUAUCGUUAGAUGAAUACAUAGUCUAACGAGGCGAACCGGGGGAACUGAAACAUCUAAGUACCCCGAGGAAAAGAAAUCAACCGAGAUUCCCCCAGUAGCGGCGAGCGAACGGGGAGGAGCCCAGAGUCUGAAUCAGUUUGUGUGUUAGUGGAAGCGUCUGGAAAGUCGCACGGUACAGGGUGAUAGUCCCGUACACCAAAAUGCACAGGCUGUGAACUCGAUGAGUAGGGCGGGACACGUGACAUCCUGUCUGAAUAUGGGGGGACCAUCCUCCAAGGCUAAAUACUCCUGACUGACCGAUAGUGAACCAGUACCGUGAGGGAAAGGCGAAAAGAACCCCGGCGAGGGGAGUGAAAUAGAACCUGAAACCGUGUACGUACAAGCAGUGGGAGCACCUUCGUGGUGUGACUGCGUACCUUUUGUAUAAUGGGUCAGCGACUUAUAUUUUGUAGCAAGGUUAACCGAAUAGGGGAGCCGUAGGGAAACCGAGUCUUAACUGGGCGUCUAGUUGCAAGGUAUAGACCCGAAACCCGGUGAUCUAGCCAUGGGCAGGUUGAAGGUUGGGUAACACUAACUGGAGGACCGAACCGACUAAUGUUGAAAAAUUAGCGGAUGACUUGUGGCUGGGGGUGAAAGGCCAAUCAAACCGGGAGAUAGCUGGUUCUCCCCGAAAGCUAUUUAGGUAGCGCCUCGUGAACUCAUCUUCGGGGGUAGAGCACUGUUUCGGCUAGGGGGCCAUCCCGGCUUACCAAACCGAUGCAAACUCCGAAUACCGAAGAAUGUUAUCACGGGAGACACACGGCGGGUGCUAACGUCCGUCGUGAAGAGGGAAACAACCCAGACCGCCAGCUAAGGUCCCAAAGUCAUGGUUAAGUGGGAAACGAUGUGGGAAGGCACAGACAGCCAGGAUGUUGGCUUAGAAGCAGCCAUCAUUUAAAGAAAGCGUAAUAGCUCACUGGUCGAGUCGGCCUGCGCGGAAGAUGUAACGGGGCUAAACCAUGCACCGAAGCUGCGGCAGCGACACUUAGGUGUUGUUGGGUAGGGGAGCGUUCUGUAAGCCGUUGAAGGUGACCUGUGAGGGUUGCUGGAGGUAUCAGAAGUGCGAAUGCUGACAUAAGUAACGAUAAUGCGGGUGAAAAACCCGCACGCCGGAAGACCAAGGGUUCCUGUCCAACGUUAAUCGGGGCAGGGUGAGUCGACCCCUAAGGCGAGGCUGAAAAGCGUAGUCGAUGGGAAACAGGUUAAUAUUCCUGUACUUGGUGUUACUGCGAAGGGGGGACGGAGAAGGCUAGGCUGGCCGGGCGACGGUUGUCCCGGUUUAAGCGUGUAGGGGGAGUGACCAGGUAAAUCCGGUUGCUUAUCAACCCUGAGGCGUGAUGACGAUGCACUACGGUGCAGAAGCAGUUGAUGCCAUGCUUCCAGGAAAAGCCUCUAAGCAUCAGGUAACAUUAAAUCGUACCCCAAACCGACACAGGUGGUCAGGUAGAGAAUACUCAGGCGCUUGAGAGAACUCGGGUGAAGGAACUAGGCAAAAUGGUGCCGUAACUUCGGGAGAAGGCACGCUGGCGUUAGGUGAAAGGACUAGCUCCURGAGCUGAAGCCAGUCGCAGAUACCAGCUGGCUGCAACUGUUUAAUAAAAACACAGCACUGUGCAAACACGAAAGUGGACGUAUACGGUGUGACGCCUGCCCGGUGCUGGAAGGUUAAUUGAUGGGGUCAGCCGCAAGGCGAAGCUCUUGAUCGAAGCCCCAGUAAACGGCGGCCGUAACUAUAACGGUCCUAAGGUAGCGAAAUUCCUUGUCGGGUAAGUUCCGACCUGCACGAAUGGCGUAAUGAUGGCCAGGCUGUCUCCACCCGAGACUCAGUGAAAUUGAACUCGCUGUGAAGAUGCAGUGUACCCGCGGCAAGACGGAAAGACCCCGUGAACCUUUACUAUAGCUUGACACUGAACAUUGAGCCUUGAUGUGUAGGAUAGGUGGGAGGCCUUGAAGUGUGGACGCCAGUCUGCAUGGAGCCAACCUUGAAAUACCACCCUUUAAUGUUUGAUGUUCUAACUCGGCCCCAUGAUCUGGGGUGAGGACAGUGUCUGGUGGGUAGUUUGACUGGGGCGGUCUCCUCCCAAAGAGUAACGGAGGAGCACGAAGGUUAGCUAAUCACGGUCGGACAUCGUGAGGUUAGUGCAAAGGCAUAAGCUAGCUUGACUGCGAGAGUGACGGCUCGAGCAGGUACGAAAGUAGGUCUUAGUGAUCCGGUGGUUCUGAAUGGAAGGGCCAUCGCUCAACGGAUAAAAGGUACUCCGGGGAUAACAGGCUGAUACCGCCCAAGAGUUCAUAUCGACGGCGGUGUUUGGCACCUCGAUGUCGGCUCAUCACAUCCUGGGGCUGAAGUAGGUCCCAAGGGUAUGGCUGUUCGCCAUUUAAAGUGGUACGCGAGCUGGGUUUAGAACGUCGUGAGACAGUUCGGUCCCUAUCUGCCGUGGGCGUUGGAAGAUUGAGAGGGGCUGCUCCUAGUACGAGAGGACCGGAGUGGACGAAUCACUGGUGUUCGGGUUGUCAUGCCAAUGGCAUUGCCCGGUAGCUAAAUUCGGAAGAGAUAACCGCUGAAAGCAUCUAAGCGGGAAACUUGCCUCGAGAUGAGUCUUCCCUGGGNCUUAAAGYCCCCUGAAGGAACGUUAAAGACUAUGACGUUGA
rnacentral:rRNA from 2 species